CCUACGGGAGGCAGCAGUAGGGAAUAUUGCUCAAUGGGGGAAACCCUGAAGCAGCAACGCCGCGUGGAGGAUGAAGGUUUUCGGAUUGUUAACUCCUUUUGUUAGAGAAGAUAAUGACGGUAUCUAACGAAUAAGCACCGGCUAACUCCGUGCCAGCAGCCGCGGUAAUACGGCGGGUGCAAGCGUUACUCGGAAUCACUGGGCGUAAAGAGCGCGUAGGCGGGAUAGCAAGUCAGAUGUGAAAUCCUAUGGCUUAACCAUAGAACUGCAUUUGAAACUGUUAUUCUAGAGUAUGGGAGAGGUAGGUGGAAUUCUUGGUGUAGGGGUAAAAUCCGUAGAGAUCAAGAGGAAUACUCAGUGCGAAGGCGACCUGCUAGAACAUAACUGACGCUGAUGCGCGAAAGCGUGGGGAGCAAACAGGAUUAGAUACCCCAGUAGUC
rnacentral:rRNA from 1 species